UCAAGCUACUAAGGGCAUACGGUGGAUGCCUAGGCGCCAAGAGCCGAAGAAGGACGCGGUAAGCUGCGAAAAGCCACGGGGAACUGCAAGCAAGUAUUGAUCCGUGGAUAUCCGAAUGGGGAAACCCGGCCAUCGUCAUGGAUGGUCACCCGCAAGGGAGGGAACCUGGGGAACUGAAACAUCUAAGUACCCGGAGGAAGAGAAAUCAAACGAGAUGCCCACAGUAGCGGCGAGCGAAGAGGGCAGAGCCCAAACCGAGAAGCUCCGGCUUUUCGGGGUUGAGGACCGGCAGAAUCGAAGUCAGGCCUAGUUGAAUUACCUGGAAAGGUAAGCGAGAGAGGGUAAAAGCCCCGUAGACGAAAGGCAGAGCAGAGAGGCCGAGAUCCAGAGUACCACGAAGCACGAGGAAUUUUGUGGGAAGCAGGGGGGACCACCCUCCAAGGCUAAAAACUACUUGGCGACCGAUAGCGCAUAGUACCGUGAGGGAAAGGUGAAAAGAACCCCGGGAGGGGAGUGAAAUAGUACCUGAAACCGUAUGUCUACAAGCAGUCGAAGCGAAAGCGACGGCGUGCCUAUUGAAGAAUGAACCAACGAGUUAUCUGCACUAGCGAGGUUAAGUGGAAGACACGGAGCCGCAGCGAAAGCGAGUCUUAAGAGGGCGCUAGUUAGUGUAGGUAGACCCGAAACCGCAGUGAUCUACCCAUGUCCAGGUUGAAGCGCAGGUAAAAUUGCGUGGAGGACCGAACCGGUGAGCGUUGAAAAGCUUUCGGAUGAGAUGUGGGUAGGGGUGAAAUUCCAAUCGAACGCGGAGAUAGCUGGUUCUCCCCGAAAUAGCUUUAGGGCUAGCCUGAGGUAGUAAGUAUAGGCGGUAGAGCACUGAUCGGGCUAGGGGCCGUAAAGGUUACCGAACCCUGUCAAACUCCGAAUGGAUAUACUGUAGAGCCUUGGAGUCAGACUACGAGUGAUAAGAUCCGUGGUCAAAAGGGAAACAGCCCAGACCACCAGCUAAGGUCCCCAAUGUCGUACUAAGUGGAAAAGGAUGUGGGGUUUCAUAAACAACCAGGAUGUUGGCUCAGAAGCAGCCACCAUUUAAAGAGUGCGUAAUAGCUCACUGGUCGAGAGACCCUGCGCCGAAGAUUCCCGGGGCUAAAGUACGAAACCGAAGCUGUGGCUGUAUACGUAAAGUAUACGGGGUAGGGGAGCGUUCCCAUAGGGUAGAAGUCGAACUGGAAGGUUCGGUGGACUUGUGGGAAGUGAGAAUGUUGGUAUGAGUAGCGAAAAGAAAGGUGAGAAUCCUUUCCACCGAAAGCAUAAGGAUUCCUGAGCAACGAUCGUCGUCUCAGGGUAAGUCGGGACCUAAUCCGAGGCAGAGAGCGUAGGAGAUGGACAACUGGUUGAUAUUCCAGUACCGGUAGUAAUUGUUUGAGCAAUGGAGUGACACAGAAGGGCAGGCAAGCAUGCGAAUGGAAGAGCAUGUGUAAGCGUGUAGGGUGGUGCAUAGGCAAAUCCGUGCACUGAAAGCCUGAGGCGUGAUGCGGAGUGAGCAGAGAUGCGAGCGAAGUUGUUGACCCCACACUGUCGAGAAAAGCUUCUAGUGAGAGAGCUACCGCCCGUACCGUAAACCGACACAGGUAUGCGGGGAGAGAAUCCUAAGGUGCGCGGGAGAACCCUCGUUAAGGAACUCGGCAAAAUGUACCCGUAACUUCGGGAUAAGGGUAGCCACUGUUGUGAAGUCCCAUGCGGAUGGAGCAUAGAGUGGUCGCAGAGAAGAGGCCCAAGCGACUGUUUACCAUAAACACAGGUGCCUGCUAAAGCGAAAGCUGACGUAUAGGUGCUGACACCUGCCCAGUGCCGGAAGGUUAAGGAAGGAUGUUCGGAUUAGUCCAAAGCAUUCGACUGAAGCCCCGGUGAACGGCGGCCGUAACUAUAACGGUCCUAAGGUAGCGAAAUUCCUUGUCGGGUAAGUUCCGACCCGCACGAAAGGUGUAACGAUUUGGGCACUGUCUCAACGAGGGACCCGGUGAAAUUGAAAUACCUGUGAAGAUGCAGGUUACCCGCGACUGGACAGAAAGACCCCAUGGAGCUUUACUGUAACCUGACAUUGGGUUUUGAUACAUUACGUACAGGAUAGGUGGGAGGCUUGGAAAGUUGGACGCUAGUCUGACUGGAGCCGACGUUGGGAUACCACCCUUGAUGUAUUGAAAUUCUAACCGCGAGAGUAACGAAAUCCGGGACAGUGUCAGGCGGGCAGUUUGACUGGGGCGGUCGCCUC
rnacentral:rRNA from 1 species